rnacentral:rRNA from 1 species
UACGUAGGGGGCAAGCGUUGUCCGGAAUUACUGGGCGUAAAGAGCUCGUAGGCGGUUUGUCGCGUCUGCUGUGAAAACUCGGGGCUUAACCCCGGACCUGCAGUGGGUACGGGCAGACUAGAGUGCGGUAGGGGAGACUGGAAUUCCUGGUGUAGCGGUGAAAUGCGCAGAUAUCAGGAGGAACACCGGUGGCGAAGGCGGUUCUCUGGGCAUUACCUGACGCUGAGGAGCGAAAGUGUGGGGAGCGAACAGG